rnacentral:rRNA from 1 species
GCCUAACACAUGCAAGUCGAGCGGAUGAAGAGAGCUUGCUCUCUGAUUCAGCGGCGGACGGGUGAGUAAUGCCUAGGAAUCUGCCUGAUAGUGGGGGACAACGUUUCGAAAGGAACGCUAAUACCGCAUACGUCCUACGGGAGAAAGCAGGGGACCUUCGGGCCUUGCGCUAUCAGAUGAGCCUAGGUCGGAUUAGCUAGUUGGUGAGGUAACGGCUCACCAAGGCGACGAUCCGUAACUGGUCUGAGAGGAUGAUCAGUCACACUGGAACUGAGACACGGUCCAGACUCCUACGGGAGGCAGCAGUGGGGAAUAUUGGACAAUGGGCGAAAGCCUGAUCCAGCCAUGCCGCGUGUGUGAAGAAGGUCUUCGGAUUGUAAAGCACUUUAAGUUGGGAGGAAGGGCAUUAACCUAAUACGUUAGUGUUUUGACGUUACCGACAGAAUAAGCACCGGCUAACUUCGUGCCAGCAGCCGCGGUAAUACGAAGGGUGCAAGCGUUAAUCGGAAUUACUGGGCGUAAAGCGCGCGUAGGUGGUUUGUUAAGUUGAAUGUGAAAGCCCCGGGCUCAACCUGGGAACUGCAUCCAAAACUGGCAAGCUAGAGUAUGGCAGAGGGUGGUGGAAUUUCCUGUGUAGCGGUGAAAUGCGUAUAUGUAGGAAGGAACACCAGUGGCGAAGGCGACCACCUGGGCUAAUACUGACACUGAGGUGCGAAAGCGUGUGGAGCAAACAGGAUUAGAUACCCUGGUAGGCCACUCCCUAAACG